rnacentral:rRNA from 1 species
GUGAGGAAUAUUGCGCAAUGGAGGCAACUCUGACCCAGCCAUGCCGCGUGCAGGAUGACGGCCCUCUGGGUUGUAAACUGCUUUUAUACGGGAAGAAAAAAUACUACGUGUAGUAUACUGACGGUACCGUAAGAAUAAGGAUCGGCUAACUCCGUGCCAGCAGCCGCGGUAAUACGGAGGAUCCAAGCGUUGUCCGGAUUUAUUGGGUUUAAAGGGUGCGUAGGCGGAUCUUUAAGUCAGUGGUGAAAGCCUGCAGCUUAACUGUAGAAUUGCCAUGGAAACUGAAGAUCUUGAAUGUGGUUAAAGUAGGCGGAAUGUAUCAUGUAGCGGUGAAAUGCUUAGAUAUGAUACAGAACACCGAUAGCGAAGGCAGCUUGCUGAACCAUUAUUGACGCUGAGGCACGAAAGCGUGGGGAGCGAACAGGAUUAGAUACCCUGGUAGUCC